CUCGAAUCCUUGGAACCUAGGUGUGAGUGCUGCUUCAGUGCAACACACCUGUUCAAGGAUUCAAA
ensembl:miRNA